UACAGAGGAUGCAAGCGUUAUCCGGAAUGAUUGGGCGUAAAGCGUCUGUAGGUGGCUUUUUAAGUCCGCCGUCAAAUCCCGGGGCUCAACCCUGGAAUUGCAUUGAAUACUGGAGGACUAGAGUACCGGAGAGGAAACUGGAAUUUACGGUGUAGCAGUGAAAUGCGUAGAGAUCGUAAGGAAGACCAGUGGCGAAGGCGAGUUUCUGGACGGUAACUGACGCUGAGGCACGAAGGCCAGGGGAGCAAACGGG
rnacentral:rRNA from 1 species